UUCAAAAUAAGUGUAUAGUAUUUUUUUUUAAAUAGACCUCUUGCACCGUGCGGAUAGCAGGAUUCUUGUAGUCCGACAACGCUGCAAUCCGCCAUAUUGAGAAAACCACACCCUUUUUUAACACUGUCUCUUAUGGAAGUAUUUUUUCAAAGUGUUUUUUCUCUUAACUGGAUAACAACUUCGACCAAAGAAAAAUAUUGAAAAAUACUACAUCAUUCAGGUUAUCCGUUGCAUGUAAGGCAUAUGGGCAUUGUUUACAUCUGUUGGACCCAAACAAAUAUUGUCAUGUGUGACGAGGUAUUGGUGGAAAAUGCUGUAAUCCAGCAUUUAAUGAUGCAUUGCUUAAAGUGAAAAGCUUUUUAAAGAAAUAACCUUGCUAUUAAUUUUGAUCACUUCAAACUGAAGAAAAUUUACUGUUUUGGAAGACGAAUGUUGGAAAAAAUACAUUAAGAUCAUGAAGCCGCUUACUAAGGCCCUUAACCGCUUUGGAAACGAGGAAAAAGUGUCAGCUGCGUGUGUCCUCCCCUUCCUUUCAAUUUCGAAGGAGAAAAUUGCCGAGUUCAAAUAAUCAUCCACUGCACACCGCUAAUGAACUGUCUUUCAGAUGGUAUAGAAUAGAAAGGUUUCAGUUGUUUUUCAAAUCCUUCUCGCAUUUAUUAAUGACUCCCGCUCUGAAUUCUUAUGAUUAAAAAAGGAACAGAAACCUGAAAACACAAAACUUUUCGAAAAAGAAGUUGAGAGUUGCGACAACAAAUUGUAAGUUUAUUUUCGAUUAUUUAUUGGUUGACUUAAUACAUACUUAAUACUUGGAUAAAAUAAUAAAAAAAUCGUCUCGAAGAAUCUUCUCAGCCAUAAAGGGCCGUUCGUAGUCUUUCACUUCCUUGUCCGUGGUAAAAUUUAAUUUAAAAUGGGUU